ensembl:miRNA
GUUGGUGCAAAAGUAAUUGCGGUUUUUGUCAACGGAAUGGCAUAAACUGCAUUUACUCUUGCACCA